GCUCCAAUAGCGCAAUCGGUUAGUGCGCGGUACUUAUAUGACAGUGCAGAGCAAUGCCGAGGUUGUGAGUUCGAGCCUCACCUGGAGCA
rnacentral:tRNA from 1 species